CCUACGGGGCGCAGCAGUGGGGGAUAUUGCACAAUGGGGGGAACCCUGAUGCAGCGACGCCGCGUGGGCGAUGGAGUGCUUCGGCAUGUAAAGCCCUAUCAGCAGGGAAGAAAAUGACGGUACCUGACUAAGAAGCCCCGGCUAAAUACGUGCCAGCAGCCGCGGUAAUACGUAUGGGGCAAGCGUUAUCCGGAUUUACUGGGUGUAAAGGGAGCGUAGACGGUUACGCAAGUCUGGAGUGAAAGGCGGGGGCCCAACCCCCGGACUGCUUUGGAAACUGUAUAACUGGAGUGCAGGAGAGGUAA
rnacentral:rRNA from 1 species